CGAGAGAGAGAAAAAAAAUCCCACCCCGAUCCAAAUCCCUCACCGGCCGGCGUCGGCGGGGUGGUGACCUCAGCUUCCCCGACGGAGCGGCGGCCGCGGGGGGAGAGGGAUGAUGGUUUCGGCAACGCACCGAAUGAAGCAAAAGCCGCGCGCCGGAGCUGCAACGGUCGGAGUCGCCGGCAGGUCGGGAUUCCCCUAACAGAAACUAUGAGGUAGUGACAGUUGCAAGCCUGCAAUGACUAUAUCCUGAUCUUUCAACAACGACGAAAAUGAUGAUCGUACAUCAGUAAAGACCAGCAAAGGCCAUCUGAAGCAGAUGAGCAUCACCAGUUAUGCAGUUGUAAAGCAGAAGAGCAUCACCUGCAAUUUAAAUGCUGAACACAGAUAAGAUGCGAGAUACCAAAUAGGAUGCCAAAUAGACAAUGUGAUCAGAAAGCACGCCAUUUGUGUGGCCCGACAUUUAGCAUCUCACCUGCAAAUUCAUCUUAUUGUGGCUAGUUGUGGAAAACGUGAUUGUGGCGUACGUCGUGAUGUUAGUAUGUCGAAACAUACAAGGCGUGUGUUGUGGUGUUAGUGUGUAGAAAUAUGAGGUGUAUGCUGUGAUGUUAGUAUUUCGAAAUAUACAAGUCAGUAAUUUGUGUUGAA